AGACUCUUUUCCUUACAUGCACUGCAUCUACUGGCUGUCUCAGAGGAGAUGAGCUGGUCGCCUGUGAAUGUGAGUCUUGUUGCUGCAACAUCGCUACAACCUAUCCAGUCCAGCUGUUAAAAUCUAUGCCACAUUUCAAAUCAGCACCACUGUGGUCCACAAGAGGAAGGACCAUUCACCCCUACUUAGCAUUCUUUAACAGCUAUCUCGACUGCUUUGCCUCAACUGAGUGCUAAAGUGCUGAUUUUCAGAUGCUGACGGACCGAGAACUGUUUCUGGAUGAUGGGUGAGAGCGGGCAGCCAGUGGGCACGGAGUGUUGGCUGGCCGGGAAUGAACUGUGUGCUGUCUGCCUCCACACCUUCCUCUGAGUGGCAUUCACAACAUUAGCACUUUGGCGUAGGGGCUCCUGAAGUCUCUGAGCCCAUGGCACACUUAAUUAGCCAAUAUGUUUUCUGUGACCCGCCCACCCACUAUUAUAGUAUUAAACCUUCUUAAGUUAAAAUUUGGAAUUAGCUUCUUUUUUAGAAUACAUUUGGUAAAAUCAGUAGCAUUUACUGUACAGUACUAGCACAAAUUAUGGAAACACUCAACUAGAACUUUUAAAACCUUUCUCUGUCCCUUUCCUUCUGUUGUUCUUCUUGGAGCCAUUUUCAUCGGUAAAAAUAUAUUUGAAACAGUUCUUCAGUGGUAACAUUACGUGACCAUUAGUAAUUUGUACAAACUGAUUAUAAAAUUUCCAACAUAAGAUAUAUUAGACAGCUGAAUUAUGUAGGUGUGAACUAAUAAAGAACUAAUAAAGAAGAUGUUAUGAUUAUGGUUUAACACAAAUACCAAUUAUUUCUUCAUUUUUGUUUAUAUUACAUUUAUUAUGCCAAAAAGAGAAAUUGUUGCAAAAUAUUGCAUUAACCAUCAAAAUCUGUCUAUAAAUGCAGGGUUUCCAUAAUCUGUACCAGUACUGUACAGGGUUAUUAGUGCAGUCUAUGUACUGUCACAAGUGCUGUGCUUAAUUUGACUGGUGUGAAUAUCAGUGGUAAAGUGUAAUUACAGUCAGUAACUCGUUUCAUGUGUCAUCUUGUGACCCGCCUCAGCUCCUUCCACUGUGUGUGUGAACCAUAGACUGUAUAAAAAUAGGUGGGAACCAGUGAUUUAGCAGCUGAAAGCACAGAGCCAGACACGAAUGCCACGCCCUGUCCUGAAUCUACGGGUGCUAAAGACGCAUCAUUUACGCACCAGAAGCGGAGGAUCCACUGAGACCAACGCAGGAGUCUGUCUGCACAGCAAACAUAUGCAGGCAAACAAUCUGCCUGAUUCGCAAUUGUCCAAUUCCGCAUCGACUAAUCUCCAAGUUAUUGCUUUUGCAGUGUAUACACAAAAGCGACUUCAUUCUCUGUGUCUGCUAGUGUUGCCCAUUCACCCCAAAAGUAAACAGUUCUACAUUG